UGGUGGGUUGCCUUGUCAGGUUGAUUCCGGUAACGAACGAGACCUCAGCCGCUAAAUAGUCACUUCCAGUUCGCUGGUCGGUAGACUUCUUAGAGGGACUUUCACCGUCUAGGUGAAGGAAGCGUGAGGCGAUAACA
rnacentral:rRNA from 1 species